AGCUUUGCACAGUGGCAGUAUCGUAGCCAAUGAGGUUUAUCUGAGGAGCAAUUAUUGCUAAUUGAAAACUUGUUCUUAUACUA
ensembl:snRNA U4 U4 spliceosomal RNA